UAAGAUGUGGGAGAGCUGCAAGAUUGAGGAAAAAGACUUCUCUCCUGAUGGAGGACCAGAGCAUGAAUCCUUCGAGGAGGAGCUGGACUCGAAGAUGGAGGGUGGUGACAACUGUGACCAGAUCAAUGGAUCAUUGUCAACAGAAAAUCAUGAAAAUGGUGGAACCUCACCUUCAAAACAGCAAAGUCAGAAGAAGAAGAAACCUUUGCUUCAUAAAUUUGGAAGCCUUCUAAAGAAGAAGGGCACAGGCAACCACAAGUAAUAGAGCAAGCUAUGUAUAGCCCGUUUUGUGUCUGACCAGUAGAGUACGAAGGUAUUCUAGCUUCUAUGUCGCACUUGGAUAUGGUUGAUCCAUGCUUUUUCCUUCAUUUUUUAUCCUUUCUGGGUCUAAAUAUGAAAAGGCCUGUGUUGUCUUUAGAUCCUUUUUCUAACUCUGUAGAUGCUAAUAGCCAUGUUGUGAAUUAAAAUUAAGUUGUUUGGUGUAUUAAUUAUAUAUAUUGUGUUGAAGGUUACUUUACUUUUCUUGUUUUGAGCUUUGCUUUCUUUCUUUCUCUUCCCUCCCCUUUCACAUGCCCAACAAAUUAAUAAAAAUGUGUUGUAAUCAUAUCUAAAUAGGUGGUCUAUUGCACAAAAUUUUGAGAAGAGUAUGGAAUUUCUGAUCAUAUCAAAGUCUGCAGUCAAAUUCCAUGUUUUGGUGACUUUGAGUCUUGUUGCUAAACCAACAACCAUUCUCCUAAUUACUUCUUUUGCUGUCUCCUUCAAUUGUCCUCUCAUGGAACUUUACAUUAAGAAUGCCUUUUUAAAUGCCCACCUACAUCAGAUACUAUAAAUGGAACAGUUUUUACUUCACAAGUCUAUUUAUGGUCUCAAUGGUUUUCUUUGUUGCAAAGCUCAAUCAUCUCCAUCCAUCAAUGUAUACGUUGCUGCGUCAAAGGCACUCUUUUGGACUUCUCAAAGUCAUCUCUAUCGCUGAUUUUUUUUGGUGUCGACUUAGUUGGCUGCCCAAAUAUCCGUUAAUUGCAUCAGUUGUGUAUCGAAGAAACAGCCAACUAUUUAUAGUUCAAGUGCCAAAGCUGAAUCUGCUCAAUGGUUACAACCAUUGCCAAGUUUAAUGGCUACUUUAUCUCUUCCAAGAACUCAAUCUUAAACUAGAACAGGCUCCAACACCUUUUUUGUGACAACAAGAGCACCCUUUAGAUAGCACACAAUCCAGUUUUCCAUGCCUGCGAAAUAGAUUAAAUAAGGACUUUAUUGACAUGUCGGAUCAGGCUAAUAAAGAAGUUGAGAAUUUGAAUGGAAAACUAUCUGAAUAUGAGAACAGAGAAAAGGAAUGUGAUGAAUCUGCAGGCGGCAAUUUUAAGAUGUGGGAGAGCUGCAAGAUUGAGGAAAAAGACUUCUCUCCUGAUGGAGGACCAGAGCAUGAAUCCUUCGAGGAGGAGCUGGACUCGAAGAUGGAGGGUGGUGACAACUGUGACCAGAUCAAUGGAUCAUUGUCAACAGAAAAUCAUGAAAAUGGUGGAACCUCACCUUCAAAACAGCAAAGUCAGAAGAAGAAGAAACCUUUGCUUCAUAAAUUUGGAAGCCUUCUAAAGAAGAAGGGCACAGGCAACCACAAGUAAUAGAGCAAGCUAUGUAUAGCCCGUUUUGUGUCUGACCAGUAGAGUACGAAGGUAUUCUAGCUUCUAUGUCGCACUUGGAUAUGGUUGAUCCAUGCUUUUUCCUUCAUUUUUUAUCCUUUCUGGGUCUAAAUAUGAAAAGGCCUGUGUUGUCUUUAGAUCCUUUUUCUAACUCUGUAGAUGCUAAUAGCCAUGUUGUGAAUUAAAAUUAAGUUGUUUGGUGUAUUAAUUAUAUAUAUUGUGUUGAAGGUUACUUUA
rnacentral:lncRNA from 1 species